AUCUACUGACGUGAAUCAUCGAAUCUUUGAACGCAAUUUGCACCUCGUGGCUUAUGUCACUUGGUAUACUUGUUUGAGUAUCCAAAACACGCUCACCUCCCCUUCGGGGUGAAGUGGACUUGAGGGCUCGGUCGUUCUUCAAUGAACGGUCGUCUCUUUAAAUGCGGGCCUACGAUGGAGUGUCUUAGCUUGCGGUUGACGCAGCUGUGAGGCAACUAUUGGGAUAAUAUCCAUACGAUAGUGUCGCCUACACAUGCAUGGCUCUGACAGACCAGGCCAACGUAAUCGGUGUCUAUCAUCAUGAUAGAGAACGAUAACUAACAUCUUGUUAAAUGGAUCUCAAAUCAAGUAGGGAUACCCGCUGAACUUAAGCAUAUCAAUAAGCGGAGG
rnacentral:rRNA from 1 species